AUUGAACGCUGGCGGCAUGCCUUACACAUGCAAAUCGAACGGUAACGGGCCUUCGGGUGCCGACGAGUGGCGAACGGGUGAGUAAUACAUCGGAAAGUGCCCGAUCGUGGGGGAUAACGAGGCGAAAGCUUUGCUAAUACCGCAUACGAUCUACGGAUGAAAGCAGGGGACCGCAAGGCCUUGCGCGGACGGAGCGGCCGAUGGCAGAUUAGGUAGUUGGUGGGAUAAAAGCUUACCAAGCCGACGAUCUGUAGCUGGUCUGAGAGGAUGAUCAGCCACACUGGGACUGAGACACGGCCCAGACUCCUACGGGAGGCAGCAGUGGGGAAUUUUGGACAAUGGGCGCAAGCCUGAUCCAGCCAUGCCGCGUGCAGGAUGAAGGCCUUCGGGUUGUAAACUGAUUUUGUACGGAACGAAAAGCCUUCUUUUAAUACAGGAGGGUCAUGACGGUACCGUAAGAAUAAGCACCGGCUAACUACGUG
rnacentral:rRNA from 1 species